rnacentral:lncRNA from 1 species
CAGAAUCUGCACAAAGAAAUAUCUCCCUUUGUUCCAGUUAAUUGUUCUUGUAUGUAAGUUGCUUUCUAUUCCAGUAUAUCCAGAGUGGUGAAAUAACAAGGCCAGCCACAUAGCCAAAGGUCGCUCCAAGCGUACAGGAGAUGGGCCAUACCUGAGGAGAGAAUGUAUGAGAUCAAAAAAGAACAAAUGUUUUAUUAUUACUUGAGCACAAGUGUAACCUAAAUAUUUCUAUAUUAAAGCUUAAUGUGCUUUCUUAAAGAAUGCCUAAAGUGUAAUAAGGUCAUAACUGCAUUUAUCAUGAACACUAAAAAUGUACACAUUUUAGUUAAUGUGCAUUAAACUGUAACAAGGCUUCGGGCAAUUGUAGAUUUAGUUUGACGCUCCCCAAAGUGCAUGAGACACAUGCUAAAAUUACAAAUUAAAAUUUUGGGUCAGACUUUGCCAUAAUGCUGGACUCAAUUUAGCUCUCUGAACUAGAUGGUAAUUUUUUUUUAAUUCCCACUUUGGCUGUGUACAUCAAAUGAAAUGAGAAGUGUGUAUGCUGACCAAACCACAAGAAACUUUAAGUUGUGUUAAAGAGGAAAGACCUAGAAUCCAAGCAUGUUACAUGAAAAUUGUAACAGAGCAGCUGCUUCCACCUUUCAGAUAUAGAUGUUGGGACCACAGCAGAAGUUAUAGAGCGAGAACUUAUAUACACACCUAGAAUGUAAGUUAAACAAAAUACCGGCUUCCGGAGACCCAUUUUCUCCAGCCAUAUUACAUUAGGCUAGAAGUAAUUAAUGUUGAUUUAUUUCAUCUACAAGCAGUUGGUCCCUAAGUGACAGGCUCUGCUUCAAAAAAAAAAGUUGGAGAAAAAUUUUCAUGUUCUUCUGUGAAGCUUAUUUGGUACACUGGAGCCUUUUCUAAUCUUUCUCUCGGGGGAACAGGCUGCAGAACUGUGUUAGAGGUGAACCAUCUUAAUUACUAGUUCUAUUACCUAAUUCAGCUUCCUUGUUUGGUCUGCUGUGGAUCUGCCUUAUUGCAUAUGCCAUGCAUCAGAUAAUGGUGUUAGACAAAGCUUCAUUGUGAACAACCUAAUGCAUUUUAGAGAAACAAUCUCAUCUACACAUUUUUUUCUAGCCUUUCCUACAUUUAAACUUGCUGUUGCCUAAAUUAUAAUUUUUUAAAUGUCUUUGGUGGGCUUCUGUUAAUUCAUGUGACUUGAGCUUAUAGCUAUGUCUACUGCACAGAUUGGGUAAUGGAACACUAAACUUUUAUACUUGAAAAUGACAGCCUUAAAUGCUCAUAUCAGUCACAAAUCUAGGAUGUACUGUCUUGUUGUAUGUGAGCUUU